AUUGGCUUAGUGCUGUAUGACUCGCCGACCACCCGCAACCAGGAAGAGGAUCGCGGCAGAGACCGGAGCCGGUUACCAGAAGCCCCGGGGGAGUGAAGGAAGGUCAUCCCCAAUACUAUUCUCAAGAUCCCAUAAAGAACUGCAAUCAUGAGAUGGUGUGGGAUGUUCGACAUCCUAUAUUACCCUGUAUAUUCAGCAGGAUCCAUAUGGUGGUCACAGGUGCAAUGCCGACUUGUCUCCGGACCCAGAUGCGGAAGAAAAUCAGCCAACUGUGACUUGGCAUAAACAGGUUUAACAACCGGCAUCACAAGUAAGAAGAACCUGGAGCAAGGACACUCAAUUAUUUUCCAAGAGGCCAACUUUCUGCCAACCUCAAUUUAUAAUGUCCAGACAAUAAGACAUAAGUCUGAUUUCCUUCCUUUGCUGUGCAGUGAUCUGUGGACAGAAGACAUGAAGCCUCACCCGGAACCUCCUCUCUGAUUUUAUGAAAAAGGAACGCCAGCACGGUGUAGUUAAUAUUGAGAAAUAUAAUAGGGUUCUACAAUCACAGGUAAAAAAUAGGGUUCUACAAUAACCGGUAAAAAGGCAUUAAGCAUAAUGCAGCGUAAAAUAAGGGACUCCGGAAAAUUGAAGCAUACUGAACUGGUUAUGCUACAUAACUCUCUGUAAGUAGGAUCAAAAGAACACUUACUAAACAAAACCUUAUAAAAUGUGUUGCCUGCAGGCUGCAACUGUGUUUUCUCAGAAUUAUCAUACUAUUUCACAUACAUUAAUAUUACUUAGCUGCCAGAAUAAAGCCACCUAAAGAGGAUCUGUGGGCCCUCCAGACAUCUUUUCUCAGAACUCUGCUUUGUGCCAUUCUUCUGAUAUUCCUUCAGGAAAUAUGUAAAUGAUUGACAUCUGGGUGUUACCAUUCACAUUGUCAAUGGGACACGUUCCACAUUCUGUUACUGUCCA